AUUGAACGCUGGCGGCAUGCCUUACACAUGCAAGUCGAACGGUAACAGGUCUUCGGAUGCUGACGAGUGGCGAACGGGUGAGUAAUACAUCGGAACGUGCCCGAGAGUGGGGGAUAACGAGGCAAAAGCUUUGCUAAUACCGCAUACGAUCUCAGGAUGAAAGCAGGGGACCGCAAGGCCUUGCGCUCACGGAGCGGACGAUGGCAGAUUAGGUAGUUGGUGGGAUAAAAGCUUACCAAGCCGACGAUCUGUAGCUGGUCUGAGAGGACGACCAGCCACACUGGGACUGAGACACGGCCCAGACUCCUACGGGAGGCAGCAGUGGGGAAUUUUGGACAAUGGGCGCAAGCCUGAUCCAGCCAUGCCGCGUGCAGGAUGAAGGCCUUCGGGUUGUAAACUGCUUUUGUACGGAACGAAAAGACUCUGGUUAAUACCUGGGGUCCAUGACGGUACCGUAAGAAUAAGCACCGGCUAACUACGUGCCAGCCGCCGCCGUAAAAC
rnacentral:rRNA from 1 species